ACCACCUACGGGGGGCAGCAGUGGGGAAUAUUGGGCAAUGGGCGCAAGCCUGACCCAGCAACGCCGCGUGAAGGAAGAAGGCGCCAGGCGUCGUAAACUUCUUUUGUCGGGGAACAAAGGGCGCCACGCGUGGCGUUGUGAGUGUACCCGAAGAAAAAGCAUCGGCUAACUCCGUGCCAGCAGCCGCGGUAAUACGGAGGAUGCGAGCGUUAUCCGGAUUUAUUGGGUUUAAAGGGUGCGUAGGCGGUCCGGAAAGUCAGCGGUAAACGCCCGGGGCUCAACCCCGGCGCGCCGUUGACACUGUC
rnacentral:rRNA from 1 species